rnacentral:rRNA from 1 species
ACUCCUGCGGGAGGCAGCAGUGGGGAAUUUUGGACAAUGGGCGAAAGCCUGAUCCAGCAAUGCCGCGUGAGUGAAGAAGGCCUUCGGGUUGUAAAGCUCUUUUGUCAGGGAAGAAACGGUGAAAGCUAAUAUCUUUUGCUAAUGACGGUACCUGAAGAAUAAGCACCGGCUAACUACGUGCCAGCAGCCGCGGUAAUACGUAGGGUGCAAGCGUUAAUCGGAAUUACUGGGCGUAAAGCGUGCGCAGGCGGUUUUGUAAGUCUGAUGUGAAAUCCCCGGGCUCAACCUGGGAAUUGCAUUGGAGACUGCAAGGCUAGAAUCUGGCAGAGGGGGGUAGAAUUCCACGUGUAGCAGUGAAAUGCGUAGAUAUGUGGAGGAACACCGAUGGCGAAGGCAGCCCCCUGGGUCAAGAUUGACGCUCAUGCACGAAAGCGUGGGGAGCAAACAGGAUUAGAAACCGUGUAGUCCCAUGA